UGGGGAAUAUUGGACAAUGGGCGCAAGCCUGAUCCAGCCAUGCCGCGUGUGUGAAGAAGGCCUUUUGGUUGUAAAGCACUUUAAGCGAGGAGGAGGCUACCCUGACUAAUACUCAGGAGUAGUGGACGUUACUCGCAGAAUAAGCACCGGCUAACUCUGUGCCAGCAGCCGCGGUAAUACAGAGGGUGCGAGCGUUAAUCGGAAUUACUGGGCGUAAAGCGCGCGUAGGCGGUUUGUUAAGUCGGAUGUGAAAUCCCCGGGCUCAACCUGGGAAUUGCAUUCGAUACUGGCAAGCUAGAGUAUGGGAGAGGAAGGUAGAAUUCCAGGUGUAGCGGUGAAAUGCGUAGAGAUCUGGAGGAAUACCGAUGGCGAAGGCAGCCUUCUGGCCUAAUACUGACGCUGAGGUGCGAAAGCAUGGGGAGCAAACA
rnacentral:rRNA from 1 species